rnacentral:lncRNA from 1 species
AUGAGGGGAGAGGAGGCUCAAGGAAGUGGUAGCUCAAAGGGGCAGCAAGGUGAUGAAAUUAAAGCAGAAAGGCUUGUGCAGGACCAGGCCUCUUCCUGGAUCAUGGUUUCAUGGACUGCCACAGGCAAGGAGGCCUCUUCAUCAGAUGGCCAACCGGCCCCUGACCAGCCAGGCUGGGCUCUGCAGCAGCUGGCUCCCGGAGCUCCAGGAGAGCGCCUGCCCCACCAUCAUGCUGCUGGAGAGCCCAGAGCAGCCCCCACAUGCGCUCUCUGCCUGCUUGCUUACACCCCAAUCCCUCCCCUCAAACAGACGAGAAGCAAAGGGCCAGAGGAAGGACGGAGGGAGGUAAAGUGCCCAGUGCUCAAAGCUUUGCUCCUCUCCCCAAGCCAGGGGCACUAACUGCAGUCAAAGGGCACAAGGCAUCAGACAAGGCCACAGCCCUCCGCCCGGAGCCCUAGUGUUCAGAGCUUGAGGGCGGGGGGAGGACGUGUCAGAGACCCCUCAGAGGUCGUCCAGCCUCUUCCCCACUUCUGGCUUCCUGUCCGGGGCACUACCAGCCAAUUUAACACCCUCUACUCUGGUCCCCCUCCCCGGGCCCAACCACGCACUGUUAGAGCCUCUCGAUUCACCUCUAUCUGACAUCCGUUCCCUUGGCAGGCCCUCACUGAUAAACCCCAGGACUGCUGUGAGACCCCUCCCCUCCCAGGCUCUCCUCUACUCAUCUGCCCAAUUAAUCUUUUGGGAAGACCCUCUCCUUAACCCAGGUCUGUCCGCAUCACCCUCCUCGUCAGUCCCUUCCAGGAACAAAUCACAAUUCUCUGAUUGGUAUUCAGCCUUUCCCAACCUGGCCUCCUCUUACCUUUCGGGUCUUUUUACCGUACUUCCUGCCUUCCCCUCCCCAACUCUUCCACCCAGGGGCAUGGCCUCCUUGCUGCUCCUCACAAGACUGGGGCCUUCUCCCUGGCUGUCCUUCCUCCACGCCUGGAAGGUGCUCCCUCCCCAUUUCAGUCUGCUGGCUUCCUCCAAGGCCUGGCAGAAAUCCCAGAGAGCUCUUCUGAGAGCCCCUCAAUUCCAAUGUCUUCUCUCCACUGAUAUGAAUGUCAAUAGAUCAGCUCUAUUGAAGUAGCUCCAAUUGAUCCUGCAGAAAACCUGUUGGCACAGGGCUUUGGUCUUUCUUUUAUGCCCAUCCAUUAGGGUGGUGCCCGGAACAGCCUGGGCACAUCAUAAAUGCUUACUAAGGCCCCUUGCUCGGCGAACUCUAGUGGCUCCCUGGGGCCUCGAGGAUCCAACACGUUGCUCUGCUGAGCACUGGAAGCCCUUCACCACUGGAUUCUACUUUCUCUUUUCUCCUCU